GUUCAAAGAAAAAAAUUAUAAAGGAAUACUGUGGCUUCCAAAGAAAGCUGCUAGCUGUUCGGAUCAUUAGGGAAGAGUGCCCUCUGCCGGAAUUUGUGGGUUAUUGCAAUAAGCGCUGUGUGCUACUCUGGAAUCCUUCCAGAUCUAGGAAUGUAAUUGGAAAGUUCCCCUGCGGCUACCGUACUUGCCCUCCAGUUUAAGGGCAGCUGAGAAGAGACCUGUUCCCUGCACACUCCCUGUUCCAGGAGAUUGAAAAUUCAUACAUGCCUCUACUGGACAUUUCUGGGCUGGGGUCCAUUGAGAAGCUGCCAUCAUCAAAAAGCCAAGCGUCUUAUACUGUAGCCUCUGCACCCUCAAACUCCAAGGUGACUGUGGGAAAACAUAAUGAAAGUGUGUGGGUGACUCUGCUGGAGUGUGGAUGCUCCGAGCUGGCUAGGAGUCUGGAGAAGAGCCAAGUGGGCGAAGCACUUAGGUAAGAGAAAAGAAAAAUGAAUGUGCAAAACCCUUCUCAGAUAGCUGGAAACAAUCCAUCUUUAUAUAACCAAGCAUCUUUCCCUGGUGUAGAGAGACUUCUUUUUCUCUUCUUUCUUUGUAUAUGAGUCAGGGUGGUUGCAAAACAUUCUGUGGACUCAGCCAUGAAAACUGUUUUAAAAACCAUGUGACAGGUGACAGCAAUACCUUGUAUUUGUCACUACAUGGAUAUUUUAUGCUAGAAAGGCAAAUAACUUUUCAUAAACAUUUUUGUUUAAUCCUAUAGGUACAGUAGUGGCACACAUACCUUGGCAGUAACCAAUGGCUCUCUAAUUGGACUGAAGACUCUCAUAACAAGAGGGAUACUAUGUGUGAUAACAGAAAGCUAGCUAAGAGACAAUAAAAGUCAUGAUACCGAAAAUAAUACGUAGUGAAAUUGAAGUAUUUUAUAACGUUCUAUGAUAAUGAUCAUUUAUAUAAGCUAACCCAUUAUAAUGAUAUGCAUGGCAUGUAAACUUGCUGACUUGUUUCUAAAUCUUAUUUGAAAAUAUUAUUCACAAUUAAAGUUGUUACAGCUCAGGCAAAGCAGUGCUUUU
rnacentral:sRNA from 1 species